GCCGCAAGAAACAAGCUAAUUAAGGUAACUGUUUAUAUCCAUUGAUUACAAUGACUGUUAGUACAAGUAACUGAGUUACUGGGGGACAAUAAUAUUGUUGAUGAUAUCAGUUUGAAUAAAUUACUUUACUUUUAAGUGCUUAUGGUUUUUGUCCAAUUUCAUAUUUGGGUCAAAAUGGAUGGUUAAUGUCCUUCUAAAACAUGAGAAUGUCUCAUCUUUUUGAAGAAAGAACUUUUAUUUAUAAUUCUUUUAUCUGUUGCAGCACAAUCUCCGGCUUAUAUUGU
rnacentral:misc_RNA from 1 species